UUGAUUGGAUUUUUAAUCCACCUCUUGUGAAAUUUAUGUCCUUUCAAUUAGUAAUAGUUUCAUAAUCUUUCUUUGAUAUCUCAUUUAUUUUGACACUUAAAAUGUGAACAGAAACAGAUUGAGUUGCUGACAAAAGUGAAGAUGCCACUAUCAGAUUUGGUGAGUGCGGCUCUGGCGCUGGAUCAAUCUAUCUUGGAUGUUGAUCAAGUGGAGAAUCUUAUAAAGUUCUGCCCUACGAAAGUAGAAAUGGAACUUCUCAAGAAUUACACCGGAGACAAGGAAACUCUUGGGAAGUGUGAACAGCAGCAUCUGUUCCUGCGCAUCCACACCUAAUCAUUCCAGCCCACUCACCUCAGUUUAAACAAGCAAGUGGUUCAAACCAAGACCAAGAACAAGCGAUGCCGGGACAGGUUCGUACUCGCCAAUGUGCGGACGGCAAGGAGACGUUCAAGCCAGAGAUGGUGCUGAGGGAUAGUUUAAUUGGAUUCUAUGCAAUUAUUUUUGUUAAUUGGCUGCAGAAAAAUAUGUUCUAAGCAGUCACAUGUCCUCUAAUGAAAAUAAGAGAUGUAAUGCAUGGUGCAUCUUUAAUAUGUCUACUUAUAUACCA